rnacentral:sRNA from 12 species
UUAAGAGGUUGUCUCUGUCGUUACCCACAAGUUGGGAUACGGGAAUGCAACUGUUGA